rnacentral:tRNA from 1 species
GGCCGGUUAGCUCAGUCAGUAGAGCGUGGCGCUAACACUAAGGUCAUGGGUUCGAUUCCCAUUUGGUCCC